rnacentral:ncRNA from 2 species
GAUAUGUUGUGUCACGUCGGUGCCGGCCUCGCGGUCGGCUGAAAAGGGAAGCCGGUGCGGACACCUCAGUCCAAUGCCGGCGCUGCCCCGCAGCGGUAGUGGAAACGAAAGCCGUCUUGGCACUGGGUACGCCCCGGGAAGCGACGGCCGGUAGGAGGACAGCAGACUGUCCGCGUCCAGAGCCCGAAGACCUGCCGACAGCCGCGCGAAGCA